rnacentral:lncRNA from 1 species
UUUGCAGAAACUGACUAAUGGUAUGACAUUCUGAAAAGCGGUUACAGAUUAAAAAUUUUUUAUUUUUGCAGAUGAUAGUGUCGAACACAGUGGAACAAAGAAAGAAGAUCUGGAUGACAAAGAAAAAUGAAGAAGAAACUCCUGCACCUGUGUACAGCGCCAAGUCAAUUCUGGACAGUUGGUUAUGGGGCAAGCAACCAGAUAAUCUUCUGCGUUUUGACACUUAGGAAAGCUUAAUCUGACGCUCCUUAUCUAAAUAACUUGGAUGGAUUAUUAGUAUUUAUGCUUUUGUCUGGCCCCCUGAGCCCCAGCGAGAGUUUCCUGAGGUACCUCACCCUUCCACAAGACAACGAGCUUGCCAUUGAUCUGCAACAGACCACGGUUGUUGUCAUGGGCCAUUUAGACCGUCUGGCUACGCCCUGUUUGCCUCCACUGUGUAGCUCUCCGACGUCUCGUAAGGGAUCAUUGCAAGAGGUCACAGGUUGGGGGUUAACGGGAUGGAAAUACUAUGCCAAUGUGAUUGGUCCGAUCCAGUGCGAAGGCCUGGCCAACCUGGGAGUCACACAGUUUGCCUGUGCAGAGAAGCGCUUCCUGAUUCUGUCACGCAAUGGCCGUGUGCACACACAGGCCUACAAUAGUGACACACUGGUGAGUGUUCUGGG